rnacentral:snRNA from 1 species
GGAUGUGAGGGCGAUCUGGCUGCGACGUCUGUCACCCCAUUGAUCGCCAGGGUUGAUUCGGCUGAUCUGGCUGGCUAGGCGAGUGUCCCCUUCCUCCCUCACCGCUCCAUGUGGGUCCCUCCCGAAGCUGCUCGCUAGGUUGAAGAGGACGACCACCCCCGAUAGAGGAGGACCGUUUCCUCGGUCAAGGGUAUACGAGUAGCUGCGCUCCCCUGCUAGAACCUCCAAACAAGCUCUCAAGAUGUGUUGUGUACAUGUACCAACUCCCCAUGAUGAAUGUGAUCAUUAUG